CCCCAAUUCCUUUGUGGCACAGCGUUGUUCUCACCAGUCUAGAGAGGAGAGAUGUGCACAGGAAGGGCAGGUGUGGAUAGUUUAUUCCCCACAGCAGUAGAGACGGAUGCAGGGGAGGAUGCUGAAUCCAGUUCUGAUGCCUAAGACAGCCCCAGCCUCCAGCAGCACGGCCACCUUCUUCAUCCAGGAAAUCCAAACUCCAAACCACUCCAUUCCCAUGUCAUGGAUGUGCAGGGCAGUGGGGAGCGGUGUUUGGUGUCUUCCAUCUUCUGCUGCAAUUAUUUCUGCACUGAUGGCAAAGGAGGGAGACUCCUUCAGGGAAUGACAGAUGUCAGAGCAGGACUGGGAAGCUUUGGAGUUGCCUUUACUUUGUAUUUUUACACCUCAGCUUUACGUCUAGUGGAACUAUGGGAAAGCAUGCUGUGUCCCCUUACAGUCAGAGAUCCAAAGCUUUGAAUGCUUUUCUGUGUUCCAGAUGUGAAAAAUGGAGCAGACAUUAGGUCUAAUGGAG
ensembl:lncRNA